AAUCAACGCUGGCGGCGUGCCUCAGACAUGCAAGUCGAACGCGAAACCUUCCUUCGGGAGGGGAGUAGAGUGGCGCACGGGUGAGUAACACGUAGGUAAUCUACCUUUGGGUGGGGAAUAACAGCCGGAAACGGCUGCUAAUACCGCAUAAUGCAGCGGCUCGACAUCGAGACAGUUGUUAAAGCGGGGGAUCGUAAGACCUCG
rnacentral:rRNA from 1 species